UCGAUUUGCUGAGGACAUAUGAAAUGGAUAUGUGCGUCGAUACCUCCGGCGGUGAGUAUUUGCCCUUCGCCCGCAAUGACUUCGGUGCCCGGGCCAAUAACGAUAUCCACAUCGGGUUGGAUAUCCGGAUUCCCGGCUUUUCCAAUGCCAUAAAUUCGACCGUUUUUUAUCCCGACAUCUGAUUUGAUGAUUCCCCAAUAGUCAAUAAUGAGGGCAUUGGUGAUCAGGACAUCCGCGACAUCCAUCGAUAAAGCUUGACUCUGACCCAUGCCGUCAC
rnacentral:sRNA from 1 species